CGGCUUAUCUCUUUUAGCUUUCUUUCCAUCAUGUCCUAUACUUUUUUCUUUUUUUUUUCCUUUCAAUUUUACUGGAUAGCUUUAAAUCAUUACUAUUCUUAUUAGUUUAUUCUCAUUGCUUAGAUUGAAGGUAACCUCUGGGGUAGCUGAAAUGGAAGAAAAAUUCAAAUUUAUUGCUGUGCUAGAGUAGGACUUUAUGUUAGUGAUUAUGGGUUUUCGUUGUUCAAUAGGAAGGGCGUCAGGGUUUGAGAGAAGCAGCAGAGUAUAUUAAGGCACAGUUGGAAAGGUUGAAGGAGAGAGCUGGGUCAAAUUUCAGGAUUGAGAUUGAAGAGAAUGUUGUUGGUGGGUCAUUCAAUAUGAUGUUCUUAGGCCAUGGAUUGCCAACUCCUACUUUUGAUGUGCCAAUUUCACCAAAGAAGGCUCUCCGUGCUGCAAUGCUGAAACGUCGUUUUGCAGACACUAUUCUGAAAGCUCAGAAGAAGGCACUACUGGAUCAUGUAAAGUUUUAUUUUGACUGCUAACAACGAAAAGGUCUUCUAAUACUCUCAUCAAAUGGAAUUAAAAAGAUGAAGUGAAGCUCUCUAUCAAAUAACUUGUUCACUUAAAUUCUUUUACUUGCCAUUAUAGAUUUUAAACUGCUUUAAUCUAUGAACUGUUAAAAAACUUAGCUUGUUUUCUUACUUGUGUCUACCAUUUCAAUCUUAUCAGGAUGAUGCAAUAUGUGCCUUCCUAUACGAUAAUAAAUUUGAAACCAAAUUCCACAGUUUUGCUUUCUUUCAUGUUUGAUGUGCUAGUGUGUUUAUAUCUUUAGGUUAUCCUUGAAUGAAAGAAAUGAAAUGAUUUGUUUGGUUGGCUUGAUAUAUAUCUAUAUUUAAUGGUAAUUUGAGAUAUGUUUUGAGUGAUUAGGAAUAUUAGUCCUUCUAGUGCAUGCAGGGACCAGUUCCUAUUAGUAGUAGUAGUUUUAAGUUGGUUAAGUAUUUGUGAGGCAAUAGUGUGCCUUGAGAUCUUAUAGAUGAUGAUUGAACCUUCACAAAAAAAGGCAAAGAUUGAAGCUUAAAUCUUAGUUACUGAAGCAGCAGCAAAAAUGAAGGCAGAGGUUAAGCUGAAAAAGCAACGGGAAAGAGAAAGAGAAGCUGCUCGAAUUGCAUUACAAAAGAUGGAGAAAACAGUGGAGAUUGAGAAGAACCUAGAGAUUGAACUUGUGCAGAUGGACUUUGUGCAGAAAAGAAGAUGCAUCAGAAAAAAUCCAAUCGAAGCUGCAGAGGUUAAAGAUGAAACUCAAAAGAUACUUUUUCCCCUUUGGAAUCCAACACUAUAGAUAUUGUACUGAAAGAUAACUGCGACAUUUUUUCAUUUUUUUUCAUGAGGAAAGGAUUAAUGGGAUCUCUUUUUUGGAGGAUUAACGUGGUUACCACUACGCUAUGCGUAUUGCCUGUCAGUUGUUAGCUACUUGACGUGUAGGCGAUAAUACAGGGCAUUAGUGAUAAUAAGAUAUAUCAUUAUCACUUAAAACUUGGAGGAAGUGUUUCUACCAGAAGGCUGACUAGGCUACCUUCAAUUCCUAAGAAUGAUGCAAAGUUCAGAUUCACAUUCAAGGAGCAAGAAACAUCGCAGCAACUCAUUGGGAUCGAGCGUCAGAAUUCAGAAUCAAGCGACACACAAGAGCUAUAUUUGGAGCUUAGACUGCACUGUAAUCAGUAAAUUUUUUCUGCCACUUUAAAUGCACGCUCAUGGAAUUGCAUUUUAUGCUUUCCUAGAAUUGUAAGUUCAAAUAAGGUGUUGAUCUUGCAAUUCAUACAUACCACUUGAGCAAGUUGAUAUGAACUAGUUUGAAUUUUAAAGGAAUCUUAUGUAAGCAAAGGCAAUUUGACUUGCUGCAUGAGAUAUAGUGAAAAACAUUGAUCUUAUUGUUUAUGAAUUUCCAAAGAAUGGAGUGAUGUAUGUAUUGAUAAUAACAUUUUUAAAGGAUUUGCUUAAGCAGGUGAAA